GGUCAAGCUACAAAGGGCGCAUGGUGAAUGCCUUGGCAUCAGGAGCCGAUGAAGGACGUGAUAAGCUGCGAUAAGCUUCGGGUAGGCGCACAUAGCCUGAGAUCCGAAGAUCUCCGAAUGAGGAAACUCACAUGGGAAACCCCAUGUAUCAUUAAGUGAAUACAUAGCUUAAUGAAGGUAACCCAGGGAACUGAAACAUCUAAGUACCUGGAGGAAGAGAAAGAAAAAUCGAUUUUCUUAGUAGCGGCGAGCGAAAGGGAAAGAGCCCAAACCGGAAACUUGUUUCCGGGGUUGUGGACAUAACAUAAAAGUGGAGGCUAUUGUAACUGAAGAGAACUGGAAAGUUCCACCGUAGAAGGUAAUAGUCCUGUAAGUGAAACGAGAAGACCACGAGUUAUGAUCCAGAGUACCACGAGACACGUGAAACCUUGUGGGAAGCUGGGAGGACCACCUCCCAAGGCUAAAUACUACCUGAUGACCGAUAGUGAAGAAGUACCGUGAGGGAAAGGUGAAAAGAACCCCGGGAGGGGAGUGAAAUAGAACCUGAAACCGUGUGCCUACAACCGCUCAGAGCCCCUUAUGAGGGUGAUGAGGUGCUUUUUGUAGAACGAGCCAACGAGUUACGGUAUGUAGCAA
rnacentral:rRNA from 1 species